CCUCGGAAGUGGGGUUUAGGUCCAAAG
rnacentral:piRNA from 1 species